AACGAACGCUGGCGGCAUGCCUAACACAUGCAAGUCGAACGAGACCUUCGGGUCUAGUGGCGCACGGGUGCGUAACGCGUGGGAACCUGCCCUUAGGUUCGGAAUAACUCCCCGAAGGGGGUGCUAAUACCGGAUAAUGUCUUCGGACCAAAGAUUUAUCGCCUUUGGAUGGGCCCGCGUUGGAUUAGCUAGUUGGUAGGGUAAAAGCCUACCAAGGCGACGAUCCAUAGCUGGUCUGAGAGGAUGAUCAGCCACACUGGGACUGAGACACGGCCCAGACUCCUACGGGAGGCAGCAGUGGGGAAUAUUGGACAAUGGGCGAAAGCGUGAUCCAGCAAUGCCGGGUGAGUGAUGAAGGCCUUAGGGUUGUAAAGCUCUUUUACCCGGGAUGAUAAUGACAGUACCGGGAGAAUAAGCUCCGGCUAACUCCGUG
rnacentral:rRNA from 1 species